rnacentral:rRNA from 1 species
UUAUCUCUGUAGAGUCUGCAUAUCAAUAAGCGGAGGAAAAGAAACUAACUAGGAUUCCCUCAGUAACGGCGAGUGAAGCGGGAAGAGCUCAAAUUUGAAAUCUUCAAGGUUCUACCUUGACGAAUUGUAGUUUAAAGAAGUGUUCUCUGUUGGAGUUUUGGUAAAAGUUCUUUGGAAUAGGACAUCAUAGAGGGUGAGAAUCCCGUAUUUGACCAUUAUUUCCAGCUUUGUGAUACACUUUCAAAGAGUCGGAUUGUUUGGGAAUGCAGUCCAAAAUGGGUGGUAAAUUUCAUCUAAAGCUAAAUACUGGCGAGAGACCGAUAGCGAACAAGUACCGUGAGGGAAAGAUGAAAAGAACUUUGAAAAGAGAGUUAAACAGUACGUGAAAUUGUCAAAAGGGAAGCGUUUGACACCAGUGUUGUUUUCUCGAAAAUCAAUUAAAAAAGGCAGGAUUUUGUGUUGUAUUGACUUUAUCAGCUUUCUGCACUCUUUUCUUGUCUCUUUUUAAUGCACUUUUCGUUUAACAAGUCAACAUCAAUUUCUUUUGUUGUAAAAGGGUCAUUGGAAGGUGGCUUUCUUUUCGGAGAAAGUGUUUAUAGCCUUUGGCCUCUGCAAUCGGAGAGAUUGAGGUCUGCAGCGUAGAUCCUUCGGGGUUAGAUACAUUUGUGCUAAGUUAUAGCCUUUCAUAGACAGCUUGUUGACUAUGAGCAGUCAUGUAGCUUACUCGCUUAUGCUAUUUUACCUACGCUUAGGAUGUUGAAGAUGUAGCACAUCAU